CCUACGGGUGGCAGCAGUGAGGAAUAUUGGUCAAUGGACGCAAGUCUGAACCAGCCAUGCCGCGUGAAGGAAGACGGCCCUAUGAGUUGUAAACUGCUUUUGUACGAGGGUAAACGCAGAUACGUGUAUCUGUCUGAAAGUAUCGUACGAAUAAGGAUCGGCUAACUCCGUGCCAGCAGCCGCGGUAAUACGGAGGAUUCAAGCGUUAUCCGGAUUUAUUGGGUUUAAAGGGUGCGUAGGCGGUCGGAUAAGUUAGAGGUGAAAUCCCGAGGCUCAACCUCGGAAUUGCCUCUGAUACUGUUAGGCUAGAGAGUAGUAGCGGUAGGCGGAAGGUAUGGUGUAGCGGUGAAAUGCUUAGAGAUCACACAGAACACCGAUUGCGAAGGCAGCGUACCAAGCUACUACUGACGUUGAGGCACGAAAGCGUGGGUAUCAAACAGGAUUAGAUACCCGUGUAGUC
rnacentral:rRNA from 1 species